AGAUUUGGUGUCUGGUGGGAGAGGCUGCUUCCUGGCUCAUCCGUGGCUGCCUUCUCAAUAUGCCUUCACAUGGUGGAAGGGACAAGGGAGUUUUCGGGUGCCUGUUUUUAUAAGGGUACUAAUCCUAUUCAUGAGUGCUCCACCUCCAUGACCUAAUCACCUCUCAAAGGCCCCAUCUCCUACAUCACACUGGGAGUUACGAUUUGACAUAUGAAUUUGCAGGGGACACAUUCAGUCUACAGUCCAGCCUCUGGAAGAAUCACUGAUGGACAGAUGGGGAGAGAGGCGAGUGAAUGCACGUGCUGGGUUUGGAAGCCGAGGGUGUGGGAGGCAGCAGCCGAGGCACCUGGCAGCUCAGCCCCUGCGGGUGAGGAAGGCAAAGCCCGGAGGCAAGAAGCCGGCCACAUGGCAUGCUGACUUGGCCCUUCUGCUCCUCUGGCCCUUCCUCCUUCCUCCUGGCAACACAGCCUGAGCCCCCACUUGGACAAACAUCUUGCGGCCAUUUCCGCCUCGCCUGCCCGGAGCCCCAGCCUGGCCUGAACAAACACUCGGGACCUGUGCUUCCGGCUUCAGCUCUGGGAAAAGCCCAACCAGGGGCUGUUGAGGUCAACCCUGGAGAGAAGUGGGAAGGAGGAGGCACCCAGCCCCUGCACGGAGGUCUGUCCGGCCUGCCCUGGGGGCCCCCCCUGCCUCUUCUGGAGCCAUCAGAACAGUGCUUGGGUUGCAGGGUCCCCAUCUGUCAAACGGGCCUAAGUACACCCACCUCAGAGGGCUCUAGGGGAUGGGAAGCACUGAGCCCAGCCCUGGGGAGGGUGGCGCUGCCCACGGGGCCAUGAGCGGGUAAGGUUCUAGGGGAUCCCCCGGGGCCGUAGGGCAGGGGAGGGGGGCAGAUUACACCUUCCCUCCUGUGGCCUCCCCAUUCUUGUUCCCAUUUUCUGAAAUGCCCCAUGGUGUGCACCUCUAGGCCUGUUCUGUCCUUUCAGAGCCUCCUGGAGUCCCUGUCUGAGACUGGGAACCAGGCUGGGGUUGGGGCCGGGGUGGACAUUCUCGGCAACGUAAAAUAUAUGACAAUGGUUGGCUGUGAGAAGUGAGCUCCCCUUCCCCAGGAGCAUGAGCAGAGGCAGCAGGAUGUGUGGGAGGCGGCCUUGCCACGAUUCCUCCUCAACUGCUUCUAGAGCGCCGUGGACUGUGGCGCGAAGUGGACAAGCUAGCAGGUUCUGGGAUCAGAAAGACCCAGUUUCUCCUCAUCUGAGAGCUGUGGGAUUAGAUUCCUACCUCGCCUUCCGGUCUUUGGAGGAGCCACCAGGAGAGGAUGGGUGUGGGCGGAGGAGGUGCAGCUGUGCUUUUGGCCUGUGAUUCCCUGUAAAAAUCCACUGGAAUCCACAUCCCCCUGCUUGUGGCUUUUGCCCCACGUUUAUAUUUAACACAAAUAAGAUACAUUCUUUGAGGAGACUUAGAAAAUUCAGACAUGAAAGUCUUCAACCCCCACCCCCUCCGCCCCUAGCCAGGCAUUGGAUCCAUCCUGCCUGACUCUGCCUCUCCUUGACCCCAUGACCUGGGGGUGCACAGCCUCAGGGGCUGGGCCUCAGGUCGCCCAUCAGGAGCUCUACUGCUUGUCCAAACCCAUGUCCUGGGGCUGGAGCCCAGGCUAUGGAAGCCCUCAGUUCCUUUUCCAGCAGGAGAUGCCCAAUUCUGCCCACGGGCGCUGACAGGGAAGUGAGAACGCAGAGGCAGGGAUGGGGGUGACACGGGUCCACUGAGGAAGUGAAAGUGUCCCUGAAUCCUCCCAUCUCUGACAAGGCUGCCCACAGAGGGCCAGUGCCAGUGCCCUUGUCUGGAGCGUCCCAGAGUGGUGCCCCCAGCCAAAACCAUCCUUGGGGUCCCCAGCUAUAACUCAGGGAGGAAGGGGUCCCCUGGCCCCCUGCCCAGGGAGCCCCAGCGCUGGAGGACCUUCCCAGCCUCACACCCCUGACUUUGACGCCGGCCUGGGCAGCCAAACCUUUUUUUUUUUUUUUUUUUUUUAAGAUUUUAUUUAUUUAUUUGACAGAGAGAGAGACAGCGAGAGCAGGAACACAAGCAGGGGGAGUGGGAGAGGGAGAAGCAGGCCUCCUGCCAAGCAGGGAGCCCGAUGCGGGACUCGACCCCAGGACCCUGGGAUCAUGACCUGAGCCGAAGGCAGACGCUUAACGACUGAGCCACCCAGGCGCCCCGGGCAGCCAAACCUCUUGAGUGAGGACCAGGAAAUUGAGGCCAGGGGAAGGAGCACCCGAUUGGCUCCGUUUUUAGGCAGAGAUGGAGCCAGGCCUAGAACCCUGGCCUGCUCCAGCUUGGGCCUCAGACAGCUGCCCCAGAAUUUCUUGAUGGCUGCCUCCAGACCGGUUCUGGUGUCUCAAAUUCCUUCUACCCCCUGUAACUCCAUGCAAAUCUCCGCGGCCACAUAGACCUGGGUUCAGAUCUCAUGCUGAUGUGGUCCUGGCAAGCCCCUGCCUCUAUAAAAUGGGGCCAGUGAGACCUUGUGCUCAGACGGGGAGUAAGUGCAAGAAGUUCACACCCACCCUGGAGGGACCCAGAAUGGGUGUCAGUUGGGUUGGAGGGUUGGGACUCGUAGCCACUCCUGCCACACCAGUCCACCCCAGGUGUGAUGGGACAAAGGACAGGGGAGCUGCAUCAGCAAUGACCUCAUCCACUUCCGCUGGGGCCCCACAGGGCCCUGUUCUGCUGGGGAGAGGGUCUCCCCUCCUAUCCUCUUCCUCUGGGCUCCUUCCUGCUUCCCUAGGUGCGGCCGGCCCUUCCGUCCAGGCGCUCAUCAAUCGCACCCAAAGUACCCAGUGUCCGGCAGGCCUUCUCAGGCCCUGACUCACUUCCUGUUUCCCGGAGCUGGAAAUCAGUCUCCCUCCCCAGGCAGCAGCUCCAAGUCCCCACCAGCGUGUGCCCCCACCCAGGCCUGGGCAUCCACCACUCAUCAUCCACGUCUGGGUUCUGCUGGACGUGAAACCAGCCCAAAGAUGCUCCCGUUGGUCAUUUAGGGAUGUAGCAGCACCCACUUGGAGGGUCUGGCCAUGGGGCAGCAGCAGGGGACAGGACAAAUGAGGACGUGCCCUUGAGACGUCUGCUAACGUUCAAUAAUCCUGUCACUCGUGUGCCAUGAGCUCUGCGCAGUGUCCAACCACCCUCAAGCUGAGUGGGGAGGCAGGAGGGGAACCAACCUGUGGCGGGACCAGCAGAAGCAUGUGUGGGCUUGGAGUGAGGCCGGACGGCCACACAGAGACUGUGGACAAGGAAAGGGGGACGGGACUUUACCGCAAGAGCUUUCGCAGAAUUUCAAGUUAGAGGAAAACAACACGAACAGAUUUAUAAUUUGAAAACAUCCCUCGGGCUGCUGUGUGGGGAAGUGAUUUGGAGAGAGGAAGAGGAAGGAGUGGGAGGAGGCAUCCAGGCAGGAGGAGGUGGGGCUUGGAUGGAUGCAGUAGUCUUGGGGGUGGAGGAGACCUGAACUGAUGGUGGGUGAUUAGCUGGUGACCUCUGGAGGUGUGUGAGGAAGGGACAGAGCACUCAGCAUCUCCUAGGCUCCCCGUUGUGUGCACGGCAGUGGGGGCCUGGGGUUGGGUCCGGCCUGUGCCACUCCCGUGCUCCAGGACUUUGGACGAGUCACUUAACUUUGCCAUGCCUCAUCUCCCCCUUCUGUAAAAUGAGUAGAAGAAAGAAUGAAAGUGCCUUCCUCUAAGGUGGUAAAUACAGUCAUCCCUGUGAUGCUCUUGGAACAGUGUCUGCUCCUGGGGGAGCCUCAAUAAACAUUA